ensembl:lncRNA
AUCUCAGGGAACGCACGCAGAGCCUCCAGCGAUGAGCACAGACAGCAGAGUUUGGCUCCUUGACCCAAUGGGUGCUGAAGAAUUUGGUGAAACAGACUGGAGCUGGCGGGUCGAGGCUCGCGGCGCAGGAUAACAGGGAUACUGGUUUUCCGGGAUCGGCAGUGAGAAGCGAAGGUUUUCAGUGCCUUGCAGCUGCGCAUCAGGUUCUAAGGGCUUGUGGAUCUUCAUUCCCUGAUUAGGGAUUGAAUCACAGAAGUAAAAGUGCCGAGUCCUAAGCACUGGACUGCCAGACCUUAUUAUCAGGAAGGUUUGAGUUGUGGCUGGCGUGCUGCGAUUCACGGGGUCACAAAGAGUCAGACAUGACUGAGCGACUGAACUGAGCGGAACUGAAAAUACACCUAAGACAACGUUUCACCACUUUAACCAGUUGGAAGAGUAGCUGGGAUUUAGACUGGUAAACAAGUCAACUCUUGGUUGUCAGUGAUGGCCGGGGACAAGGAUGCUGCAUAAGUAAACGGGUAACGGUCAAGUGCAUUUUAGC